rnacentral:piRNA from 1 species
UGGAAACCUUGAGAAGAUUUGGAGGUCCAU